UAACCCGCACCACUUAUCGUGGUGGGAGACAGUGUCAGGCGGGCAGUUUGACUGGGGCGGUCGCCUCCUAAAAGGUAACGGAGGCGCUCAAAGGUUCCCUCAGAAUGGUUGGAAAUCAUUCAUAGAGGGUAAAGGCAUAAGGGAGCUUGACUGCGAGACCUACAAGUCGAGCAGGGUCGAAAGACGGACUUAGUGAUCCGGUGGUUCCGCAUGGAAGGGCCAUCGCUCAACGGAUAAAAGCUACCCCGGGGAUAACAGGCUUAUCUCCCCC
rnacentral:rRNA from 1 species